AAACACCCAAGAAUUAUCAAUAAAAAAAUAAAUUAAAAAAAAAAAUAAAUAAAUAAAUCCAGCAAAAAUAAAAAUAAAAAAUAAAAUCCCCUUGAAUACAUUUGAGGUAAUGUUGUAGUUUUCAGCUCCUCCCACGAGAGAUUUUAUGGAGUGCCUAACUGUGCUACCCGGGUGCUGCUCCUGUCGUUAGUGGUGGCACCCAGGAGGAAUUAAAAUUACAAGAGUGUUUCCUUCCAGAUGUUGUUGCUACAGGCUCAAGGUGCUCUUUUAACUGGGACAUCAGGCUUUCUUGAAAUAGACAAGAAUUCUAGAAACAUGACAUUGUGCCUGAUUCAUCGCUUCAACUUGCCACUGACUCAUUCUCUCCUUGAUAGGUUAUUCAACAGUAACUUUAAUUACAUCAUUUACUUAUUGUUUUCUUCCUUGAUUUAUUCUCUUUCUACAAUUCUUGUUUAUCAUCUCAGUGAUUGGACCAUCUCACCUCUGAGACUUGGGUAGAAUUCUGUGGACUCUGGAAAUAGACAUGGAGGUUUUCAUGUAUCUCUGUUAAUGUGUACAAACACCCCCAGGCUUGUACACUUGAAAUACAUCAGUAGGAAGGGUAGUUCUCAAUUUGCUAGUGUUUCACACAGCUUGUCUUAUUUAAUGAUCUCAGCUGCCCUAUGAAGUAGAUACCAUCCUAUUAAAAAAUGCAGGAGCAGAGGCUCUGAGAGGGGACUGUAACUUACCCAAGAUCAUGUGGUAGAUUGCAAAACUGGUUCCAAAUCCCUACCCUUCCCUGUACGCACACCUUUUGCCAUUCAUCUGCAAUGUCCUUUUCUGAUUCUGGGCUCAGCAAUAUAACUUGCUCUGGCCAACAGGAUAACAACAGCAAAUGUGAUGUAAGCAAAAGCUUGAGAAAUACUUGUGCAACUAAUCAUGUUUGCCUUCUCUCUUGUACCUGUGCCAUUGCCAUGAGAACAUGCCUGGGCUAGGAUUAGAGACACUUGGAGCAGAGCUGAGUCAUCCCAGCUGUCCCAGUUGAGGCCAGCCUAGGUCAGUCGAUGGCAACCAAGCCCUAAGCAUGUUAGUGAGCCCAGCCAUGAUCAGCACAACCACCUAGCCAACCAUCCCAGACCUGUGAUCAAUAAAGCCUUACUAUUCCAUACCACCUAGGUUUUGUGAUUAUUUAUUUCACAGAAUUAUUAUGGCAGUAUGUAACUGAUAGAAGCGGUGUACAGGGAAGAGUAUUUGUUAGUCCGUUUUCACACUGCUGAUAAAGACAUAUGCGAGACUGAGCAAUUUACAAAAGAAAGAGGUUUAAUGGACUUACAGUUCCACGUGGCUGGGGAAGCCUCACAAUUGUGGUGAAAGGUGAAAGUCACAUCUCACAUGGCAGCAGACAAGAGAAGAAGAGCUUGUGCAGGGAAACUCCCCUUUUAAAAACCAUCAGAUCUCAUGAUACUUAUUCACUAUCAUCAGAAUAGCCUGGGAAAGACCUGUCCCCAUGAUUCAGUUACUUCCCACCGUGUCACUCCCACAACAAGUGGGAAUUCAAGAUGAGAUUUGGGUAGGGACACAGCAAAACCAUAUUAGAGCAGAUCUCUGGAAUUGGGCAGGCCAAGGUUUGAAUCCCAUCUGUUAUUUGGAGUGUGUGUUUCUUUUUGAGACUAAUCUCCUUACCCUUGAAAUGAGGUAAUAUACUUCCCUCAUAGGGUUGCUGGGAAGAUUAAACACGAGGUGAAGUAAAUAAAGCCCCAGGGACAUAAGCAAAAAAUAAUGGCUUCUCACAGCAAUGCUCCAGAACAUACAACAAGGGAAUACUGGGCCCAGUCCCAGGACUAUCCAAGUGUGAAGCCAACACCUUUUCACAUCAACUCCAAGGGCCACCAGGAAACACACCUUCAGGAAGCACCUUUUCUGUUCUAUCCCAAAGGGCACCAUCACAUACACUAUAAUAUGAAUCAUGACCCCCGGAGUUGUGUGGAGUUUCUGCAUCUCUCCCUCCCCACUGUGGCUACCCUCAUCCAGCAACCAUCCUGUCUCUCACCGGUAUUACCGCAGCUGAGACCCAGGUCUUAAGGAAGCUGAGACCCAGGCCAGCAGGGGCCUCACAGGUAGAAUGAAGCUUGGAAAAAGAGGAGGGUGUAAGACUCUGGAUGAAGCUGAGAGAUCCUUCCAUGCUUGGCUGAGAGACUACACAGACAUGAGCUUCAGGAGACUCCAAAGCCUCGGAUCCCCUUCUAAACUAGCACUGAAUUCUGAUUGGCUGUCUUUGCCUGCCUCAGUUUGUUCCUUUUACUGAUUGGCUAGGUUCUUCUGCCCAUGGCAGAGCCCUGCUCCAGCCACCGGAUCCUCCCACCUGCCACAGUGUCACCUGGGAUUGGCUGGGCUCUGAAAGGCCAGGCUGGCUUGACUCUUGCCAUCAUCAGAUUCUUCCUCAUUAAACAAAUGAAUCACAAUCCUAAUUAAUUUGAGCAACAGAAUUUAUGUAACUACUCCCAGCAGGAUGUCUGCUCUCAGUCAGCAGAGAGAUUACUUCCUCUCUCUGGGAAAUUCCAGCCUUGCUGGUCAAUAAGCCUUAAUGAUGACUGAAAUCUCCCAUCUGUCUCUGCUCAGGGCAGGUAACCCCUACUAAGCAGACACCCAGUUGGCUCGAGGCAGUACCCCGGGCACCGGCAGGACAAGGACAACGAUCUCCCAGCCUAGAUGUGUCCUGAGCCACAUGGAGCACACAGUAGGUGUUUACUUAAGGACAGGGGCUGCCCCUUCCAGGGAAGUUCUGAACCACUUAAAACCCACAGGAAGUGUUCAAUGUCUACUUAUGGAAUAAAUGAAAGGGAGGAUGUGUCACUCAGAUACUUAUAAAAUGGUCUCAAGAUCCUAAACUCCAAGCAAGCUUCUCCAGCUCUUUCCAGCCUUUGCUCCCCCUAUUUCCCAUGACCAUAACCCAAUUCUGUCUUUUUCCUAUUUUGAACUUUCCAGACUCAGAAAUUUGGCUCUUCAUGUUCCCUGCCCUUGAACCGUCCCAGCCCUCUCUCCAAAACAGGCUUCAUGCUGGCUGCAUGGGAGGGAGGGGUAGCAAAGUGGAAAGUGUUACAGAAUUAGUGCUAAUUCUGGCUUUGUCACUUACUCAUUGUACUUCACCUCUCUGUUCUUAACUUUUCUCUCAUACAUAAACCACACGGGGUUCUUGGGAAGAUUAAAUAAGAAAACAUGGUGAAAAUGUAUUGCACAGUACUUGACUCAUUUAAUUGGUGACAGACAGUGUUUUAGGUAAUGGAGAUACAGUGGUGCUCAAGGCAGGCAAGAUUCCUGCUCCCAAAGAAUUUAAUUUCCAGGAGACAAGAAGCAAGCUAGCAAAUGUAUAAGAUAAUAGUUAGGGAACAGUACUCAGCAAAAAUAAAAAAUGUAUGGAGAGGGACUGAGGGGAGUGAGGAACUCUUUGAGGAGGUGCCACUCUGAGACCCAAAUGACAAGAAGGAAUUAACCACAUGACAUUCUAGAAAGAGGGAAAAGAGUUGCUGUUAAGAAGAUGUGGGUGUGUUAAAAAAAAAUUGCAAAGUCCCUUAGGUACGAUUGAGCUGCUAAUGAUCAAUCUGAGGCUUCUGCUCUGUGUCUUAUAGGUAAACGGGGUAAGGUUUGGUAGGACUGAAAAAUUCAUCCAGCCACCUAUCUAGGGGGUGUGAGGGUCAAGAUGUGGACCCAGGUCUUCUGCCCUUAAGAGCAGAGUGCUUGUCACUACAGCACAAAGAAGGUGCAAGAGAAAGGAAAAGUGAGUGGGAGGCGGUGAGGGAGGAACAGACUGCCUUGUCCUCCACCAGAUCUAAAUCUGUCUCCUCCUGAUGGUUGGCAGGAUUACAGGAUCUGACUCCCAUUUGGGCCUUCCACCUCCGCUGGCCUAAGCAGUCAAGUGUCAGAGAGCACUGGACCUAACAGCUCCCUCACCAGAGCAGCUGUGAUUCCUUCUUCAUUUCCAGCAGGGAAGACCCAACAACUUUUAUAAUAUGGGAUUUCUUUUAUUCUCAUGAUAAUAAUGUUCAUUGUGGAAAAUAAAAAAAAAUGAUAAAAUAAAAAUCAGCCAGAAUUCCAACUUCUGGAGAUUUUGGUGUCUUUCUGCAAAGUUCCUAUGCACAUAGAUACUUUAUAAAAUUAUGAACAUACUGUACAUACAGUUUUGGAAUAUGCCUUUUUCCUUCUGUCAUGAAAAAGUCUUCAAAUGCCUUUUAACAGCUACACAAUAGUUCACUACAUGAACCAACUCAAAUGUAACUAUUUUUGGCCUUUUGUUAUAAAUAACACAAGAACCCUCAGUCUUUGUUACAUAAUGUCCUAACAGAGUAGGGGAAAUGCUCCCCAAUCCGGUGCAAUGUCCUGUGCCCAGGGAAACCAAUU
rnacentral:lncRNA from 10 species